GCCGCGGCGCUCAGUCCGGUAGCGCAGCGGGAGGGAGGCGCGAAGCUGAAGCCGGCGGCUGGGCUCCGCAGCGCAGCCAGCGCAGCGCGGCGCCCGGGGCACGGCUCUAUGCCCGCAGCCCCGCCGGACCGCCCUUGAGCGUGGGCGCCUAGCCCGCGCCCCCCGCCCGCCGGCACCAUUGCCCCGACGGCGCGGCCCGGCGGCCCGGCGCUCCCCAGGCUCCGCGCCGGCCGGAAGACGCUGCUAGCGGCCGCCGCUGGCGUGGUGAUGCUGCUGGUGCUGGUGGUGCUGAUCCCUGUGCUGGUGAGCUCGGGUGGCCCGGACGGCCACUAUGAGAUGCUGGGCACCUGCCGCAUGGUGUGCGACCCCUACCCCGCGCGGGGCCCCGGCGCCGGCGCGCGGCCCGACGGCGGCGACGCCCUGAGCGAGCAGAGCGGUGCGCCCCCGCCCUCCACGCUGGUGCAGGGCCCCCAGGGGAAGCCGGGACGCACCGGCAAGCCAGGUCCCCCCGGGCCUCCCGGAGACCCCGGUCCUCCGGGCCCUGUGGGGCCGCCCGGGGAGAAGGGUGAGCCAGGCAAGCCGGGCCCUCCAGGGCUACCGGGCGCAGGGGGCAGCGGCGCCAUCAGCACGGCCACCUACACCACUGUGCCGCGCGUGGCCUUCUAUGCCGGCCUCAAGAACCCCCACGAGGGUUAUGAGGUGCUCAAGUUUGACGACGUGGUCACCAACCUAGGCAACAACUACGACGCGGCCAGCGGCAAGUUUACAUGCAACAUUCCCGGCACCUACUUUUUCACCUACCAUGUCCUCAUGCGUGGCGGCGACGGCACCAGUAUGUGGGCGGACCUCUGCAAGAACGGCCAGGUUCCUGGGCACCGGCGGCGUGGAAAUGCGGGACAUAAACCCAACUAAUCCGAGCGCAGGACUCCAGGAACGUGGACUUGUCCUUGCGGGUUUGGCCUUUGGGAGGUGGAUUCAGGCUGAUAUGGACGGGCAAUAAUGGGAGGGCGAGGAUGGGCUGGGGGCACAGGGUAGGGAGAAGCGGUGUCGGACGUCCGCAGGCAACUAGGCGCUAGGCUAUGCGCGCAUGCUAGAAGGCGGGCUGCAGGAAAUGUUUGGGGUGCAAAGGCAAAGAACCCCAGCGCUCUUAGCUGCAAUACAUCCCUCACCCUCAGGAAGGGACCAUUGGGCCCAUCAGAUACUGCAAAAUCUAGGACUGGGGACCUGUGUCAGAGCUACCCACCUCAAGAAGGCUGCCUCCGGGACAAAAAGUUUUUCCUCCUGAGGCAGGGUGAGGAGAUGUAAACUAUCCCUCCUCUUUGGUCUCCAGCGUCCAAUCUGUCCUGACUCCUUGAGUGUAGGGGGAUCUUCUGUGUUCCUUGUCCCCAUUCCAGACACUGGAGCUCGAAGGCACCCAGUGUUCAGGGAGUCUGGUAUCCAGACUGUGUGGGCACCUAUCUCACCAUGGAAUGGUCUGUCUCCCCAGGACUGACCUUGACCCAACCUGGCCCCAGGGUUACAUUACUCAGCUCCCUUGCUUCCAGCUCACUGGGGCCUGGGGGCCUGGGAGCAAGGUCAGGCUGAGCACUCUCUUGGAAGAAGGGGACCCCUGGUAAGAACUCUAGCUGGGCUAGUGGGAAUUGGGAAGGAAUCUCCUGAGGUUGAGACCCAAAGAUCUUGUUGGAACCCUUCCUGUUGUAUUACUACCCAGCACUACUUUGAGGCUCUGCUGGCCUGUGGGUCUGCAAGGCUCGAGGAUAAGGGAAGGGGCAGGCAAGGGGAGUCAGCAGAAUGCCUAUCAGAUGCUUGUAAGUCUGCCCCUCUUUUCUUUCCCCUGCCUGGCUGGUUCCCCACCCUGUUUUCUGGUUUCUGCCUCUUUCUGUCUCUCUCUCUUCUGUGUCUGCCACUUUAGUCUCUCCCUGGGUUUCUGGCCUCUCUUCCCUUGUGUUAACCCCCCUCUUCUCUACUCCUUGUGUGUCUCUCCCUCUUAUAUCUAUUAGGCUUCCCAUAUCUCUCCUUUUUAUCCUUGGUUCCUGACCAACUGGGAGGCCCAGUAUCCAGCAAGGGAUUCUUCUGCAGACAGCCCCAGGAUUUCCCUUAUUAAUCACCAAUAAGGGAUAAAGCAAUGUCACCUUCAUCAAAGAGUUUUUUCCUUUACCAAAGAAGUUUAUUCCUUUACCAGUUUUACCACACCAAGGUUUUAGGGUGUUGGGAGUUUGCCUGGACAGGGAGGCUACCGCCAGGCCACCAACGGACCCCAGACCCUGUACCACCACAGGAGAUCCCAACAGGGACCAGAGAUGAGGCAAGAGGAGGCCCUAAAGAUGUUGUGUACCUGGGCCAAGGGCACUUGCUUCAGUCAUUAGGAGGUGAAACUGCCCCUACUUUCCCCUUCAACAGGGGCAGGGUGUUGGCAGAGCCUGAUAAAUGGUGCUCACUAGAGGUGGCACUACAGGCUAGUAGAAAAAAAAGGAGAUGGCUUUAAUUAUGGUUCUCAAGGACUUAGCACCUUGUUACUCGGAUCAUCCUCUCCACCAAAACCCAAGAUAAAUAGUGGGGCCUACAGCCCCCUCCCCUGCAUCCUUUGUGAUUUCUCCUUCCAGAUUGCCCAAGAGAUUCAUUUAAUCUCACCAGUCAUUCCACAUGUUAGUUUUGAGCCCCUACUAGGAGACAUGUUUGGGGCUUGGUACCAGGGGUAAGUGAACUUGCCCUCUAGGACCUCAUGACCUAUGUAGGAAAGCACUAAUAACCACACAAUAACACACCUCAAUGAGUAGAGUAUUGAAGGUGGGCUGGGAGCCCAAUUGGUGACUUUUGCCCCCAGAUGUGUUGGCUGGGAGGAAGCGAUUCAGUGGAUCCCUAAGGUAAGGAGACACAGCUAGGGAGAAAAUAUAAGGUCAAAUGAAGGUAAAGGCUGGCCCAGAGGUGGAUGAGGACAUUUAUGUAAGCAGAGAAAAAAAUGAUGAGACUGGGCAAUAUAUAGGAACGGGAAGGGAGCUUGAGUCUCCCCUGCUUUCAGAAUGGGAGGGGGGCUGCUCUGGACUUUUCCUUCCUGGUUUCCUGCCUAUAGAGAGGCUUCCAGAAUUUAUCUGGGAAGGCAGAGUCAAAUCUGAGUUUUGGCCCUUUCCUGAGCAAGAUGGGAGUGGGAGGGCACCACCUUCAUCCCUGGUGCUAAGAUCCCUCCCAUAUUUGUCUGAGGUCCACUUGUCCUUAGGGGUGGCUUUUAGUCAACAGCCCUAAACCUGAUGGUACGAAGCCCUGGUCAUUAGAACAUGAAGAACCUGUGGAAAGGGCUCUAGGUUAGGGGUGGUGACCAGGGUGAGGUGAGCUCCCUACAGCUGCCUCCAAGAUCCAUAGUUCAGAUGAGUCAAGGACACAAAAUUGGUAAAUGGGCCAGGGGUUGUGUGGGGACAUGCCAGGGCUUAUGGUCAUGGUCAGUGUGCUACUUUUCCAGGAUAGGAGGCUGCGUGGAAGUAUUACAAAUGGGCAAGGGCUCAGACAACAAAGUCCGAUUGAGGUGCGGGCCAGCGCAAUCGCCCAGGACGCAGACCAGAACUACGACUACGCCAGCAACAGCGUGAUUCUGCACUUGGACGCGGGCGACGAAGUCUUCAUCAAGCUCGACGGAGGCAAAGCGCAUGGCGGCAACAGCA